UCAUGUCAUAAAAUCGGCCGGCUACUACAAAUAACAAUUUAAAAUCUAAAGAACUUGGCGGUGUCUUAUCACACCAGGGGAACCUGUUCCUUAAUUCGAUAAUCCACGAAAUCACUACCAUUAAUUGAAAAUCCAGUUUGUGUACUGCCGUCACCAGCAUACCUUAAAAAGACAAAGUAUGCAAUAAUAGCAAGCCUAAGUAUUUCAGGUCAUAGUACAGCCUACUUAAUGGGGGAAAUGGGUUACAAUCAAAAAAUAGAAACCAAAUCACGAACUAAAGUUCUGCAAAAAGGUGGACUUGGUAGUAAUGAGAAAUAAUAAAUUCUCAUGAAAAAAGAUCUAAGACAUGCACACUCGCCCKYCACUCCCCUCUAAAGAGG
rnacentral:rRNA from 1 species